UACGGAGGGGGCAAGCGUUGUUCGGAAUUAUUGGGCGUAAAGAGUAUGUAGGCGGCUAGAUAAGUCAGACGUGUAAGCCCAUGGCUCAACCAUGGAAUUGCGUUUGAAACUAUUUAGCUUGAGUGCAGGAGAGGAAAGCGGAAUUCCCAGUGUAGCGGUGAAAUGCAUUGAUAUUGGGAAGAACACCGGUGGCGAAGGCGCUCUGCUGGGCCAUCACUGACGCUCAUGGACGAAAGCCAGGGGAGCGAAAGGG
rnacentral:rRNA from 1 species